rnacentral:SRP_RNA from 1 species
GUCGAGCUAAGUAGCGGUAGCUUGUAACCCGAGUGGGGACGAUAAGAUGGUGGAACACUGGUUCGGUGUCACGGGUCGGUUCUGGUUUGGCAUGUUUCUGAGCUGCCCAGUCCAAGCUGUGAGUAGUCUGUGUGUGUCGAGCGAAGGCUUGGCUCAGGCAGGUUCUAAAGUCGGAGGGUAAUGCGUGAGGCUGGUUUCACAGAGCAGCGAUCACUUCCCGCUUACAGCAGUGGACGGAUUACGGUUCAGCGCCGGUCAGAUCCACUAUGGCUCGCUGGUUCGAUCUCUCAGCUGAACCACCAUUUUU